rnacentral:rRNA from 1 species
CCUACGGGAGGCAGCAGUCGAGAAUCAUUCACAAUGGGGGAAACCCUGAUGGUGCGACGCCGCGUGGGGGAAUGAAGGUCUUCGGAUUGUAAACCCCUGUCAUGUGGGAGCAAAUUAAAAAGAUAGUACCACAAGAGGAAGAGCCGGCUAACUCUGUGCCAGCAGCCGCGGUAAUACAGAGGUCUCAAGCGGUGUUCGGAAUCACUGGGCAUAAAGCGUGCGUAGGCUGUUUCGUAAGUCGUGUGUGAAAGGCGCGGGCUCAACCCGCGGACGGCACAUGAUACUGCGAGCCUAGAGUACUGGAAGGGGAAGCGGAAGUCUCGGUGUAGCAGUGAAAUGCGUAGAUAUCGAGAGGAACACUCGUGGCGAAGGCGGGUUCCUGGACAUUAACUGACGCUGAGGCACGAAGGCCAGGGGAGCGAAAGGGAUUAGAUACCCUGGUAGUC